UACGAAGGGGCUAGCGUGCUCGGAAUUACUGGGCGUAAAGCGCGCGCAGGCGGUCUUCCAAGUCAGUGGUGAAAGCCCGGAGCUCAACUCCGGAAUUGCCAUUGAACUGUUAGACUUGAGGAUGAGAGAGGUGAGUGGAAUUCCAGUGUAGAGGUGAAAUUCGUAGAUAUUGGAAGAACACCGGUGGCGAAGGCGGCUCACUGGCUCAUUACUGACGCUCAGGCGCGAUAGCGUGGGAUCAAACAGG
rnacentral:rRNA from 1 species